AAUGGAUCAUAUACUGAGGGCUUUUCUAUGGAUUGUGUUCAUCUUCAACAAGCUCUUCUUUCUUAUCCCUUCACAAGUAUCCUAUGCUGUUAUACUGUUAUGUCAACUGCUCAUCUUAGGCUUCAAAUAUUAAUUUUUCAUUGCAUGUUCUACUUUUUAUUUUCGAUGUUCUAUACAUAUUCUCCAUGGUUCUUCUACAUUGUAGUUAAUUGUUCAUUGUAUUCAGGAUGUGACAAAACCAUAUUAUAUCU
rnacentral:lncRNA from 1 species